CUGAGAGUGCGCAGGCGCAGCUACCGCUCUGCCCUCUGGGAAUUAGAGUCUUGCAGCCUCUGUCCGGGUCGUUGAGCGCUAGGAUCUUGGAUCCAGAAAGAACUACAAAUACCGUGAGGCCAAGCGGUUCGGCUCCCGCGGAGAGGAGGAAGAGGAAGGCAGUAGGAAGGGGGGCAGAAAGGAAGAGUGUCACUCAUGUUGGCUGCCGGGAGUUGUAGUUUUAACUGGAUCGCCUUUGUCGACUUUCCACUUCUGGGGCGCCAGCAAAAGAGAAUGAGAGACCACAUUUCCUAGGAUGCCCUGCGGUGCGUUCAGCCUCACUUCCCCCGUCGGCGGAGAAGAGGAUACGGGGAAGCUUGGUAAAAACAGAAUUAAAGGGAAUGGGUGUCGGAAGCGGAGGGUCUGAAGUUCUCGACUCAUAGAAGGGGAGGGGAAUGAAAGGCUCUCAGUAAAGAAGAGAGAGCACAAGAGGAAGGAGGGGGACAGGGAGAGGAAGAAACAGUCUGCCCACUGAGCAAGGAUCCUUGAUGCUGGGCUCAGUCCCAGGACCCCUGAAGCAUAACCUGAGCCAAAGGCAGAUGCUUAACCAACUGAACCACCCAGGUUGUUCCCAAGUUCUGAUGGUCAUAAUCAGCAUUGCUAUAAACAUCUCUAAUCAGGAAUUGAUUUAGAACAAUUGUUCUGUAUUCAGAAUAUGAAGGUUAAAAUGAACUGUCCGGACAAAAAUCUGAACAUGGAGCUUCUAACAGCUUUAUUCAUAAGUGGCAAAACAUGGAAGCAAACAAGAUGUCCUUCAGUUCAAGCCCGCUGUCUGUCUUCUCGGUGGCUUUAGCAUGGCUGCAGAUCUCAGCGUCAGAAAAACUACAACGGUGAAGAUGAAAUGUAUUGUACAACUGCCAUUCUCCUCCAUCAGCUGAUCCCUCAGUGUUUCCUGCAACUGUUUCUGUGUUUCUUAAACCAGAGCUUUGUGCUUAAAAUAUGUAUCGGUAAGUUUUAAGUGUAGUUUGCUUUACUGAUACUGUGCGGUUUUGAAUAAAUUUUUCAAAGUCU